rnacentral:rRNA from 1 species
GAUGAACGCUGGCGGCGUGCUUAACACAUGCAAGUCGAGCGAGUGAGUUCUUCGGAACGAUCUAGCGGCGGACGGGUGAGUAACACGUGGGCAACCCGCCUCAUAGAGGGGAAUAGCCUCCCGAAAGGGAGAUUAAUACCGCAUAAAAUUAUCGAGUGACAUCACAUGAUAAUCAAAGGAGUAAUCCGCUAUGAGAUGGGCCCGCGGCGCAUUAGCUAGUUGGUGAGGUAACGGCUCACCAAGGCGACGAUGCGUAGCCGACCUGAGAGGGUGAUCGGCCACAUUGGGACUGAGACACGGCCCAGACUCCUACGGGAGGCAGCAGUGGGGAAUAUUGCACAAUGGGGGAAACCCUGAUGCAGCAACGCCGCGUGAGUGAUGAAGGUCUUCGGAUUGUAAAGCUCUGUCUUUGGGGACGAUAAUGACGGUACCCAAGGAGGAGGCCACGGCUAACUACGUGCCAGCAGCCGCAGUAA